rnacentral:rRNA from 1 species
AUUGAACGCUGGCGGCAUGCUUUACACAUGCAAGUCGAACGGUAACAGGUUAAGCUGACGAGUGGCGAACGGGUGAGUAAUGCAUCGGAACGUGCCCGGUCGUGGGGGAUAACGCAGCGAAAGCUGCGCUAAUACCGCAUACGAUCUGAGGAUGAAAGCGGGGGAACGUAAGGCCUCGCGCGAUCGGAGCGGCCGAUGUCAGAUUAGGUAGUUGGUGGGGUAAAGGCUCACCAAGCCGACGAUCUGUAGCUGGUCUGAGAGGACGACCAGCCACACUGGGACUGAGACACGGCCCAGACUCCUACGGGAGGCAGCAGUGGGGAAUUUUGGACAAUGGGCGCAAGCCUGAUCCAGCAAUGCCGCGUGCAGGAAGAAGGCCUUCGGGUUGUAAACUGCUUUUGUACGGAGCGAAAAGGCUCUCUCUAAUACAGGGGGCUCAUGACGGUACCGUAAGAAUAAGCACCGGCUAACUACGUGCCAGCAGCCGCAGUAACAC